rnacentral:rRNA from 1 species
GACGAACGCUGGCGGCGUGCUUAACACAUGCAAGUCGAACGGAAAGGCCCUGCUUUUGUGGGGUGCUCGAGUUGCGAACGGGUGAGUAACACGUGAGUAACCUGCCCUUGACUUUGGGAUAACUUCAGGAAACUGGGGCUAAUACCGGAUAGGAGCUCCUGCUGCAUGGUGGGGGUUGGAAAGUUUCGGUGGUUGGGCAUGGACUUGCGGCUUAUCAGCUUGUGGGUGGGGUAGUGGCUUCCCAAGGCUUGGCCGGGUGCCGGCCUGCGAGGGUGACCGGCCACAUUAGGCCUGAGAUGCGACCCGUACUCCAACGGGAGGCAGCGGUGGAGAAUAGAGCACAAUGGGCGGAGGCCGGGUGCAGCGACGCCGCGUGGGGGAUGACGGCCUUCGGGUAGGAAACCGCUUGCGCCUGUGACGAAGCGUGAGUGACGGUAAUGGGUAAAGAAGCACCGGCUAACUACGUG